GGAGUGUUAAAGAAAUUAAAGAAACUCGCACAAUUCUUAAUUUUGGUGAUGGGUUUGGCAUUCUUUGAUUCCUUUUUUCGUUUCUUCUUCAGGACUUUUUUUGUUAAGCAUUUUCCAGGAUACCAUUCAAUCUCCGUCCUCUAAAAUACCAUAACAUAAUAAGAAAAUUGGAGGGGGUAGCUGAAGAAUGAAAAAUUUCAGUACAACAGACUUAUGAUUACGCAAUUGUUUUC
rnacentral:misc_RNA from 1 species